CGUGAUCGCACCUGUGCUUUACGGUAUCCUGUGUCCCUCUCACGGGGAUUACAGAAAACACUCUAUCUGGAAGGAGGCUGAUGGAGAGAGCUUAACCUUAAAAAAUGGCCCAUUCUGACUGCAAAAGACCUUCUGAACUAUCAAAGAUUCUGUACACAGAUUGAUGCCUUCGUCCACCACCAUCAGAGAGGCAGCAGAUGGGAACAAAUGCAGAGACUUCUAGCAAGACAUUAUACAGAGAAAAAGACCUCGGAACACACAGAUC